rnacentral:rRNA from 1 species
AUUGAACGCUGGCGGCAAGCCUUACACAUGCAAGUCGAACGGUAACAGGUCUUCGGAUGCUGACGAGUGGCGAACGGGUGAGUAAUACAUCGGAACGUGCCUAGUAGUGGGGGAUAACUACUCGAAAGAGUGGCUAAUACCGCAUGAGAUCUACGGAUGAAAGCAGGGGAUCGCAAGACCUUGUGCUACUAGAGCGGCCGAUGGCAGAUUAGGUAGUUGGUGGGAUAAAAGCUUACCAAGCCGACGAUCUGUAGCUGGUCUGAGGGGACGAUCAGCCCCACUGGGACUGAGACACGGCCCAGACUCCUACGGGAGGCAGCAGUGGGGAAUUUUGGACAAUGGGCGCAAGCCUGAUCCAGCAAUGCCGCGUGCAGGAUGAAGGCCUUCGGGUUGUAAACUGCUUUUGUACGGAACGAAAAGCCCCGGGUUAAUACCCUGGGGUCAUGACGGUACCGUAAGAAUAAGCACCGGCUAACUACGUGCCAGCCGCCGCCGUAA